AGAGUUUGAUCAUGGCUCAGAUUGAACGCUGGCGGAAUGCUUUACACAUGCAAGUCGAGCGGCAGCGCGGGGCAACCUGGCGGCGAGCGGCGAACGGGUGAGUAAUGUAUCGGAACGUACCCAGUCGUGGGGGAUAACACAGCGAAAGCUGUGCUAAUACCGCAUACGUCCUGAGGGAGAAAGCGGGGGACUCGUAAGGGCCUCGCGCGAUUGGAGCGGCCGAUAUCGGAUUAGCUAGUUGGUGAGGUAAAGGCUCACCAAGGCGACGAUCCGUAGCUGGUCUGAGAGGACGACCAGCCACACUGGAACUGAGACACGGUCCAGACUCCUACGGGAGGCAGCAGUGGGGAAUUUUGGGCAAUGGGGGAAACCCUGAUCCAGCCAUUCCGCGUGAGUGAAGAAGGCCUUCGGGUUGUAAAGCUCUUUCAGCAGGAACGAAACGGUAAGCUUUAAUAAAGUUUGCUAAUGACGGUACCUGAAGAAGAAGCACCGGCUAACUACGUGCCAGCAGCCGCGGUAAUACGUAGGGUGCGAGCGUUAAUCGGAAUUACUGGGCGUAAAGCGUGCGCAGGCGGUUUUGUAAGACAGAUGUGAAAUCCCCGGGCUUAACCUGGGAACUGCGUUUGUGACUGCAAGACUAGAGUGUGGCAGAGGGGGGUAGAAUUCCACGUGUAGCAGUG
rnacentral:rRNA from 1 species